rnacentral:rRNA from 1 species
GCCAACGGGAGAAGGGUUGUUAAGGAACUCGGCAAAUUGACCCCGUAACUUCGGGAGAAGGGGUGCUCCAGAGAUGGAGCCGCAGAGAAUCGGCCCAAGCAACUGUUUACCAAAAACACAGGUUUGUGCUAAAUCGAAAGAUGACGUAUACGAGCUGACGCCUGCCCGGUGCUGGAAGGUUAAGAGGAGAUGUGCAAGCAUUGAAUCGAAGCCCCAGUGAACGGCGGCCGUAACAAUAACGGUCCUAAGGUAGCGAAAUUCCUUGUCAGGUAAGUUCUGACCCGCAUGAAAGGCGUAAUGAUUUGGGCACUGUCUCAACAGCCCGCCCGGCGAAAUUGUAGUACCGGUGAAGAUGCCGGUUACCCGCGACAAGACGGAAAGACCCCAUGGAGCUUUACUGUAGCCUAAUAUUGGGUUUCGAUGUUGCAUGCACAGGAUAGAUGGGACUCUGGGAAACCAGUGCUUUGGCGCUGGCGGAGAGGCCGUUGGGAUACCAUCCUUGCGAUAUUGGAAUUCUAACCUGCGGCUCUGAAUCGAGUCGGGGGACAUUGUUAGGUGGGCAGUUUGACUGGGGCGGUCGCCUCCUAAAAAGUAACGGAGGCGUUCAAAGGUUCGCUCAGCUUGAACGGAAAUCAAGCAAAAGAGUGCAAACGCAGAAGCGAGCCUAACUGCGAGACUGACGGGUCGAGCAGUAACGAAAGUUGGAGUUAGUGAUCCGGUGGUAUGUGAGUGGAAAUGCCAUCGCUCAACGGAUAAAAGUUACCCUGGGGAUAACAGGCUGAUCUCCCCCAAGAGUCCACAUCGACGGGGAGGUUUGGCACCUCGAUGUCGGCUCAUCGCAUCCUGGGGCUGUAUUCGGUCCCAAGGGUUUGGCUGUUCGCCAAUUAAAGCGGUACGCGAGCUGGGUUCAGAACGUCGUGAGACAGUUCGGUCCCUAUCUGUCGUGGGCGCAGGAUAUUUGAUGGGAGCUGUCCCUAGUACGAGAGGACCGGGACGGACGUACCUCUGGCGCACCAGUUGUUCUGCCAAGAGCAUAGCUGGGCAACUACGUACGGAUCGGAUAAACGCUGAAAGCAUCUAAGCGUGAAGCCGACCCAAAGAUAAGAUAUCCCACUGUUUCAAACAGGUAAGAUCCCUUGAAGACUACAAGGUUGAUAGGCACGAUGUGUAAGUGGAGUGAUCCAUUCAGCAAGCGUGUACUAAUAGAUCGAGGGCUUGACC